rnacentral:rRNA from 1 species
GACAGAGGGGGCAAGCGUUGCUCGGAAUUAUUGGGCGUAAAGGGCUCGUAGGCGGUUUGUCGCGUCGGGAGUGAAAACUCAGGGCUCAACCCUGAGCGUGCUUCCGAUACGGGCAGACUAGAGGUAUGCAGGGGAGAACGGAAUUCCUGGUGUAGCGGUGGAAUGCGCAGAUAUCAGGAGGAACACCGGUGGCGAAGGCGGUUCUCUGGGCAUUACCUGACGCUGAGGAGCGAAAGCAUGGGGAGCGAACAGG